rnacentral:rRNA from 1 species
AGUGAACGCUGGCGGUAGGCCUAACACAUGCAAGUCGAACGGCAGCACAGGAGAGCUUGCUCUCUGGGUGGCGAGUGGCGGACGGGUGAGGAAUACAUCGGAAUCUACUCUGUCGUGGGGGAUAACGUAGGGAAACUUACGCUAAUACCGCAUACGACCUACGGGUGAAAGCAGGGGAUCUUCGGACCUUGCGCGAUUGAAUGAGCCGAUGUCGGAUUAGCUAGUUGGCGGGGUAAAGGCCCACAAAGGCGACGAUCCGUAGCUGGUCUGGGAGGAUGAUCCGCCAACCUGGAACUGAGACACGGUCCAGACUCCUACGGGAGGCAGCAGUGGGGAAUAUUGGACAAUGGGCGCAAGCCUGAUCCAGCCAUACCGCGUGGGUGAAGAAGGCCUUCGGGUUGUAAAGCCCUUUUGUUGGGAAAGAAAUCCAGCUGGCUAAUACCCGGUUGGGAUGACGGUACCCAAAGAAUAAGCACCGGCUAACUUCGUGCCAGCCGCCGCCGUAA